rnacentral:lncRNA from 1 species
UGCACCGACAUCCCGGGCGCCCGAGGCCGCAGCGGCCGAGCAGCCCAGGGCGCCAGCCCCGGCAGCGCCCCCGGCCCAGCAUGCGCGCAGAGCCCGGGCGGCCCCGCUGUCCCCGUCUCCUCGGCCUCCGCGGCAGCUCCCCCCUCGCAGGGCCGGGGGAAGCCGCCCUCCGGCUCAGCCUCCUCUCCCAGCUCAAGUUUUCCUUCCAGCUGCGGCCCGCCCUGCACUCCCCGGCUCCGGGCCGCGCCCUGCGCCCGCGGCGCGCUGUGUCGCCCUGCGCCGCGCUGUCCUCGGCCAGCUUCUGGCCCGGCCCGACCCGCCUCGCCUCCUACCGCGGGCGGCCCUCCCGGCUCUCCGGCCGCUCUCCUGCUCGCUGGAUCCCGUUACCCGAGCCCCGCGAGUUUCCUCUUCCGAGGGGAGGCGAGGCCGCGCCAGCUAGCGGGGAGGAAAUGCCGAAGUCUGGAGCCGAGCGCGCCGCGGGGGCGGCCCCCGCCGGGCCUCCGCCUUAAAGCGACGCCAGGCGGCGGGAGGGACUUUGGGACGCGCCUGGAAGCGGCCUCCCGCGGGCCUCCCCCGUCCUCCCUCCCCGGAGGCACGACGAGCCCGGCCCCGGUUCCGGGGCGGCGGCCUCGUCCGGGGAGGCUCCGGGGCUGCGCCGCUCUCUCCACGUUGUUAGCCCGGGAGACCAAAAAGCAGAAGGGGGUGGUGGCGCGGCGGCCCCUGGCGCCGAAGUGGCCCGUGCCUUCUGCAGCCGUCCUUGGCCUCAAAUCAGCCUUCCCCGAGCCUCUACUGGGUGCCCGGCCUUGGAAGGGACAGGGGUGGGUCCCCGGGUUCCCAGAGCACCUACCGCGCGCUCGAGGCCGGGUGCUGGGGCCAUGGCAGAAGACGCGGCAGACUCGGCGGCUGCCCCUUCCUGAGGCUUCCUGCUCCGUAAAAAAGCGAAUUAGAGCAGCAGGGGCCCCAGUGCGAGGAGGCCUGCGAGAGGAGGAGCCUGCCUGGGGAAAGGCCAGGGGAAGCGGUGGUGCAGAGGGCUGCGCGCCACCCCCACGUCCAGCGUGCUCCGUGCUACCCUGUUUCCUCACUCGCUGGUGA